AGUUAUCUAGAAUCUUGGAGCUUACAUUUCUUUUCUUUUCUUCAGGGCUCUGGCAUGGACCCUGGGUGCAAAGUACACAUAGUGGGGAGGUGGCCUACAGAAGUGGGAAGUCAUCCUAAGGGAUUAAAGGCAAAGGGCUUCAGGUCAAGCAGGCCAUUCUUGGAGGAAUGUCUUAGCCCAACAUCUGUGAUGAGGAGAGGAACAUUAAUGAUAUCCACAAAGAGAUGGGGGAAGAGAUGCUUAAGAUAUUUGCUUUAGGAUA